rnacentral:sRNA from 1 species
GCCCAUCCCAUGAAAAGCGAAUACGAUGGGCGCGUUGGGUCCGGGCGCUUUUAUGAGCGUCUGAUAGGGUGAGAUCGUCAUCGUGGUCUUCUCCGUCGGGCUGGACGCGAACUGCCGCGGCCCCGAAGUUGGUCAGUCU